CGAGAACACGUUGUGCAUUUUAUUUUCAGCACGUUUUGCUUUGAUAGUAUGGGCUCACAGGGUGAUGCUGUUACUCAUUUCUGUGGGAAAAAGUUUUUCGUCUUUACUGUUACCAAGGACGUAAUCCCGCUCCCCUUUAAAUGAAUACCUUGAAUAAAAAGUCCCCCCGGUGAGCAAAGCUUUUUUUCUUGGAAAAAGUCUAUUGAUGCUGACAGGUAAAAGACCUCGUCAAGGUGCCAGCCACACCGCUCAGCACUGCAAGGCUACCGAUGAAAGGUUAUCAGAAAGCAAAAACGACACCACACUUGCACUCGAAAACACUUUGAUACACCCACAGAAAUAACUACAAAAACAAAUAAUAGUAAUGUAGGCGCGUAUGGGAACGGCUGCGUCAGGGCCUGAACCUCUCAUUGAUCACUUGAAGCGAGCACAGAAUCAGCCACGGGAGCACAGGUGAAGGCAAUUCAGCUGUGCUGCUGGAAGGGGUGGAGCCUGGCUGCACCUCUCCCAGACCCAUUUAAGAGCUGGCUACGAGUAGGGAAGGUUUUCUUUCUGGAGGUCCCUCCUUUGCAGUUUUACGGUGAGCCCGGGACGUGGUUCAGAGUUUUGCUGAACUGAGAAGUGACGAAAGGGCAGGGACCGGGCCCUUCGUGUAGGAACUGUUGUGCAAAUUAGAUGGCAGAUGUGGGAGGGGGCUCGCGGGACGGCCUAUGCUGCUACUCUACUAUGGAGAGCUGUUUUGGCAAAAAAAAUCUGUAAGUGAGGGCAGUAACCAGCCUCUGCUAUGAUAGAAAGACAGUCCUGAAAGACUGAACGGAAGGAUUUGUGGUCAUCGGGGUGCAAAAGUGGAAAUUAGAAGUGCAAACGAGGCUACUCUGCAACAAAGCUAAGACUGUUUUCUAAGCUCUACGGCGUAACAAUUUUCCAGUCCUGCUUCAUACAGAUAACACAAGUGAAGCAAGAUGCAGAAUGAUAAACGUUAUUUGAUUCCUCUAAGGAAAAAACGGCUUGAAAAGCAUGAUGUGAAGCACCAGACCUCAAAGCACCACAGCAGUGCCAGUCUUCGCUUACAAAUUAAUCAGCAACUCCUCUUGCUCCCUCCCAAAUAAAAGGCGUUUACGUAACCCUUGCAUAACCUGCAGGGCAGAACAACACAGCAGCUGCCUCCAGUUCAGAAGCAGACAGCAGUACUCAGAACUCAGAGCGGUACGGCUCACUGCUUGGUCUGCGAACCAGCGAAGCGCCUCUCCUUACCUUCCUUCACGACGGUACAGCAAUUGCAGAAGUCAUGCGUCUCCACCAGGGUGUUACUUGUCUGCUUUCUUUUUCUUUGUGCUUAGUCUCUUCAGUGUUUUCAGGGGGAGUGACAGCAGAGGGGUUUUGUCAUCUGCUGCUGCCCGUGACCCGCGCAAGGUUCCACAAGCGUAACAGCUAAGCAGAGAAACGUCCUGUGUACUUGAUGGAAUAGAAAGGUACCGAUGAAGAGUCACACCUGAUCGUUGUGUUAAAUAUAUACUUACACUUGUAUUUAAGUGUACUUGUGUGAACGGCCACGCUAGUUCGGCUCCUCGUAUCUGCUGUGCUUUUGGUCUGUGGCAGACCAGUCGUGAGGUGCCGUUCAUCGAAAGAACUUUAAAAGCUUUAAGUUCAAGGAAGGCAGCGACCUGGAGCAAAUGCCCCCCUCCACCUCUAAAAGAGAAAACAAAUUACUGAGGAGGUGAAUAAAGAAAGGAUGCUGUUUUAUAGUAGGGCGUUAUCCACUAAAAUCCACUUUUGCUGCAACGAACUCCUGUUUCAGACUCAAAGGUAUCAAUAAAAAGCUAUUUCUGAAAUUACUUCAAUAUUUGCGUAUCUAAAAAUAAAAAUAAAA